rnacentral:rRNA from 1 species
CCUGGCUCAGGAUGAACGCUAGCGGCAGGCCUAAUACAUGCAAGUCGAACGGGAUCUGAGGUAGCUUGCUACCGAUUUGAGAGUGGCGCACGGGUGCGUAACGCGUGAGCAACCUACCCAUAUCAGGGGGAUAGCCCGAAGAAAUUCGGAUUAACACCGCAUAAUAAUACGCUAACACAUGUUGAUGUAUUUAAAUAUUUAUAGGAUAUGGAUGGGCUCGCGUGACAUUAGCUAGUUGGUAAGGUAACGGCUUACCAAGGCGACGAUGUCUAGGGGCUCUGAGAGGAGAAUCCCCCACACUGGUACUGAGACACGGACCAGACUCCUACGGGAGGCAGCAGUAAGGAAUAUUGGUCAAUGGGCGCAAGCCUGAACCAGCCAUGCCGCGUGCAGGAUGACUGCCCUAUGGGUUGUAAACUGCUUUUGUUAGGGAAUAAACCUUCUUACGUGUAAGGAGCUGAACGUACCUAAAGAAUAAGGAUCGGCUAACUCCGUG